GUGGAGAGAACAUAAUCAACUCCAUUUCUUGGGUGUGACCCUCGUUCUCUGCUCACCUUGAGCCGCUCCAGUCUCUGCCACUGUCUUCAAAAGCAUGGUGACAAAUUCUCCUCUGGAAGAUCCUGCAGAUGUGAAACUGGGUGGAGGUGUCACCCGCUGUGACACCGUGACAGCGUUUUCAGCAGCAGAGGCAUUAUUCUGGAGUAGCCCGUGAACUGUAAACAGAUUCUCAGCAUUCAACAGGCAAAUCGCCUUGGGUGUAUACCGGAAAAUUUAAGUGUUUUAAGCACUUGUCCUGAGAUAUGUUUUUUAGAUUAUCAGUUUGCACUGCGUAGAUGUCAAGGCUUAACGGACAAAGACAAACUUCAGCCCAGCCCUGGUCAUAAUGAACAAAAUU
rnacentral:lncRNA from 1 species